rnacentral:rRNA from 1 species
UCCGUAGGGGGCAAGCGUUGUCCGGAAUCAUUGGGCGUAAAGCGCGUGUAGGCGGUCCGGUAAGUCGGCUGUGAAAGUCCAGGGCUCAACCCUGGGAUGCCGGUCGAUACUGCCGGACUAGAGUUCGGAAGAGGCGAGUGGAAUUCCCGGUGUAGCGGUGAAAUGCGCAGAUAUCGGGAGGAACACCAAUGGCGAAGGCAGCUCGCUGGGACGUUACUGACGCUGAGACGCGAAAGCGUGGGGAGCAAACAGG